AUAAGUAGGUGAUUGAACUAGCUGCAUAACUUGGAAAACUUCAACAGCAUUCAGAAUCGGCGGAAGGGAAGAGUCCUCUGUCUUGUGUAAAGAAAUUUCGUGAUCCUUUCCCACCAGAGCUCUUGAAUUAGAUAUCACGUCUGCCUGUAAGUAACGGGGAGUGAAUCGUCCAACCAAUGGAGAUCCAUUCCAUGAUAUAUUGAAUUUUCUUGACUGAUUCUUCUCAAGAUUCUCCACUUCAGCAAAGUACAUAAAAACAUAAAACUGAGCAUUCAUGUCAGUUGUUUUCCAGUACAAAUUUAAAGGUUCACUUGGAUUCUGAGGUGCAGCUGCAGUCUGGAUUACUUCCAAUGGUGCUUCAUAUCCGUUCUCAUAGGUAGUAAUCAACGAAGAAGUACUGACUGGAUCCCAAGAAGGUGAAAUGUGACGUGACCAAAUGCGAUCAUAAACAUCAUCUUCAUAUCGACCUGUUCCAUUGCCUUGUCCGAUGUCCAGUCUUUCAACGAGUACUAGUGAUGCAGAAGUGCCAAAUUCAGUACCAUAAGUUGAGCUAUUAAGCGGUCUAAGUUCCAACGCCGAAAUGAAAGGAGUUCCCAACCCUUUAUUUAUUAGACAAAUGUCCACGGUAUUUGAUUCUGCAAAACCUAUAAUCUCCUUAGUAACAAUAUCUGAAGCAUUUUCAAACCUCACCGUCGACCAAAAGUUGACGCCGAGGUAGAGAUCAAAUUCCGGUAACUUGUUUUCUCCAUCGUAGUUUCCAUACAAGAAGGUAGCUCUAAUCAAAUUCAAAAUGUCAUUUCCUUUGUCGGGUUUCAACACGUAGCAAUUUUUGUUUCCUUGGGAAAACUCCUGAGGUCUAAGAGAGGGGCGGGGGGGAGGUCGGUAUUAUUUGGAUUCAUAAAUUCAGAAGAGAUGUUCUUGUUUAUCCCUGUGUCUAUGUAAUCUACAUCCGGUGAGUAUGUUAUGCUCGCAUCCAUGACUUUGUAGUGGUUCAAUGGAUAACCACAAUCAAUGCUUAUGAAGUUUACUCCUAAACAAAUAAAUGAAAUAAGCCUUAGAACUCAAGCAACAAAUCGAAAGAAACAGAUUCUUUUUCUAAAAGUAUAUUUUAUCUAUACUAAAACCCGGUGGAUACGUACUCUUCAUUAACAGUGCCUAUCCGGUUUUGUCCCUCAUUUUAUUCAUGGUUUUUGGGUUUUAGUGGGAUUGUGCAGUGAAGUGGCCAUUUUGCCCUUGGUCGUUUGGAGGAAAUAGUGAUUUUUGAGGGUUUUGUGUGCAGCCUUUAAAGUUUAAUAUUACUUGCUUUCAAUCUGUUUUGAAAAAUAUUAUUUUGUAAGUCAUGAGGCAUGGCGUCGAUGAAAUUGUUUGGUGCGGUACUGUUUCUUUCUUUAUAUUAAUUGAGCUUAUAAUGCAUUUUAAGGCCUAUUAUAGAUUUGUUUUUCAUAUCAAAUCUUAAAUUAUCGGUGUUAAUAAAAAAGUGAUGCUACACCUAUUCUGUUAUCCUAUUUCCCACACUCAUUAUAAUUUUGCUCACUAUAAAAAGUUAAAAAAUUGAAACACUAUUUCUCCACGCACUGUUAUACCUAAUAGCCUCAACUAUACAUUUAAAUUCUUUUUAAUUUUUAGUAGAAUAAAUAUUAGCUAAUAAAGCUAGCGACUUUGUUUUGCAAACCCAACGAAAGAUAUAUAAGAGCUUCCUCCCCGCGACCUUGUUUUGCAAACCCAAUGAUGAUGUUGGUCCAUGAGACAGUGCUUCUUCUUGGCAUCUGCUUGAAUAACUUAUAGGCAUCAUCAAUUAAACUGCAACUGGCAUACAUGUGUAUGAGUACACCCCAACUCACAACUCCUUUCACGCAUACCAUCAAACUCCCCGCGUGACACCAAAACCCGACCCUCCACUCGUUGCAUACAAAUUAACCAAACUAGUCUGAACAAACACAUUGGACCCAGACACACUUCCCAAAACCUCCCGUGCACAUGUUACCUUCUCUCACCAACCUCAACCUUGCACUAAUACAUACGAAUAGAUAAACCGAUCAGCCUCCGCCUAAGAACCCACCAGCCGUUUAUACAAUUUAACAGAUUUUCGCAGUGUGGCCUAUGAUCAUCUGGUUCCACACAUUAAUACUAGGUUUUCGACAUUUUCAAAAACUAUGAGGGCAUGAUCGAGACACCCACAAGCAACGUAGAAUGAUAAAAUCCGAACAAGAAUGUAGCUUUUUUUGUGUGAGUCCAUGAAUUGUUAUUUUUGGUGUGAAUUAGGGGUGUACUUGCAGAUCAAUGGAAGCAAGUACUUUUUGGUUUUAAUCCAUAUAUGUCAUUUUAUGAGAGGGUAAAAAGGGCAUCAAAAAUUUUAUUAAGGUGUGGGGGGUAGAUAAGACAAUGAGGUGGAAUUAUCAGCUCUUUAAUAAAAUUGAUUUGGUUUUGUAGAUCAUAAUUUUUAAGCGACAAAAUUAACCUGCAAAUUCAGUUUAGGUAUGAAUGCUUGGUACAUUAUCGUAUUACUUUAUUAUUAAUAAUACUAAUUUGGUUUUGUAGAUUAAGAUUUUUAAGCGAGAAUCAAGUUCAAAAUUCAAUUGAGGUAUGAACUUUUUGCUUAUUUGGGCUAUUGAAAUCAUCCUUGCCUUUACUGCAUUUUAUUUUUUUAAUUUCAGUAGCUUGAAUGGAAGACGCAAUUCUAACACCUAUCAAUCAGUUACAACAGUAUAAAAAAGCAGUAAAAAUUAAAGUCCGCCUGUGUAGAAUGUGGAGAGCGAGAAUUCCAGGAACGACUGAUAAAUAUACAGGUCUGUAUACUGAUUGAUGAAAAGGUGAGCAAUUCAUAUGUAGAACUAACCAUUGUAAGAUUCAAUCAUGCUUUUUUUAUUUUUAUUUUUUUUAAAGUGAUGUGUUUCAGAUAUUGUACUCUCCAACUAAGCUGUUGCAAAGCUUUUGUAUAAAGCUUUUAGCUGUUGAAAGUGUUUUAUCCAUCCUAGCAAUUAGUCUACUAACUUAUGCCUAAUUUGUAAUUAUUGUAGGAGAAACUCCAAUGAUGAAUGGGAACAACGAAAAAAGUAGUGUUAUCCUAGCCAAAAACCUUAUUCUCACUACAUUGGGUACGAUUAGUUAAAUUUUCAAUUCAUUGUAGUUGGAUUGAAACAAUAUUCCCUAAUAUUUUUUUUAUAUAAAUAGUCCAAUUUUUCAUAAUCUUUCUUAUUCGCUUGCAGUGUGGAAAGGUUGUUCAUUAUCUCAUGACCCAAAUCAUUGCCCAAAUUUCUGUGAUAUACAUUUCAAUUCACUUUCUGUGAGUAAUGUCUCAAUCAUUGUCCAUAUUUCACACUAAAUUGUUAAUAAGAACUCAUUAUGCUAGGCUUUAUACACGUGCAAAAGUGUUGUAUGCAUAAUAUCUCAUUAGCAUGGCUAGGAUCCACUUUUAGUUUGUUUGCACCACAUUUUUCAAUUAGCUGAACCGGCAACUCAAGUUAACUGCUCAAAUUGGGAUCGUUUGGGCUGAUUUGGAGUUUUUUUCAUUGGUGAAAAAAAAGAUGGUUACCAGUAAAUUGAUUGUAUUUUAAUUUUUUUUAAUUUUUAUUCAAUUCAGCUACCCAUGCUCAGUUUUUCGGUUUGAUUUGAAGGAAUUUCUUGCGCAGAAGAGCUAGGGUUUCUUAGUGAGUUCUUCGGGUUGUGCAUCUGGGUAAUUUUCUUUUGUUAAAAUUUGGGGCUUUUGUUAUUGUGAUUUCGGGUAUCGUGAUUUUGGGGAUUUUGUUUGUAGGUUCAGAUUCCCCAUCAUGGUGUAUAGUUUUGUUUUGUUUUUGGCUUUAGGAAAUCGUGGUUUUUUGGAUUUGGGGCUUUUGAUUGCAGCCUUCCAGAGCUUGGCUUUUGUUUGGUUUUUGGUUAUAUUGGACUUGAAUUUGCUUUUUUGUUGUCCGAUUAAGUGGUUUGUCAUUUUAAGUUAAGUGGUUUAGUUCAACCUCUGCUGGAGUAACCAAAACCGGGUAUACAAAGAAGACUCGAGACUUGAUCAAGUAGGUGCUUAAACGUUAAUUUGUGGAAGAAGAGGUUGCAGUUGCCCUGGAAGCAAAUCAAUAAAAGAGGGCAAGACUUGAGAAAGAAAUUUGUGACACAGAGAGCAACCUCUCCAGGCUAGAAUCCAAACUACAGUCCCACAGGCCACAUCCAAUGCAUCAAACAGAUCAGCUUUUGGGUUUAUCAUCAAAUAAUCAACCUAUUCAUCAGUAAAUUAACGUUUAAGUUUGUUUUUAAUUUAGUUCAUAAAUAAAAUCAACCAACUUGUCAUGCCCUUUUGAUAGGAAAUUAUAAAGCAAUGUUGACCGCAUUUGGUGUAUUUUUUUUUUCUUCUUACUUUUGAGAUGUAUUAUUCGUUUAUAUCAUAGAUUAGAUGAUGAAGAAUUAAAGAAAUUAAAUGCCGCUUUGGAUGAAAAGUUCAUGUUGAUGACAAGUACUGUUGCUGAUAUUAACUGUCCCUCAUCUGCCUUAAUGCUGCAGGUAUAUAUAUAUUAUGUAACAAGUUUUCUAUCAGUUUGUUAAUAUGGAUAACCAAUGCAGGUUUUUUAACACUAAACAUGUUUGUAUUUCUUUGAAAAAAAAUUAGGAAAAACAAAACAGGUUGAACCAAUCUACAUAGUGAAUUGAAAGAAAAUAAUUAUUUAAAUCCGUAGACCUUCUGAAGUCACUCUUAAUGUUUUUGAAUUGAGCUCAACCCCACGAGCACGUAGACGAAGGCUGUACGUAAAUCGGGACAGGAAAGAAAACGUUACGAACAUUAGAAAUUUCUUAAAAAAAAAAAGAAAAAAAAAAGAGGGAAGCUGCGGGUUGGCAGCAGAGGAGAGAAGAGGAAGAGAGAACAUGAGGAAAAAAGGGGGAGAGGGCCGAAUGGGGAGAGUAGAGAGGAAGGAGGGCUGACCAAUGGGGGAGGAGAAAAGGGAGAAACAUGAAGGAAAGGAGGGAAGGCAAAGAGACUGUGAGGCACCCAAACCGGAUCCCAAAAGAGACCCGUUUUUCCCCCUUGCGACCGGGUUGCCCGACAAAGAAAUUUAGGCUGUCUUCCGUCAUUAUUCCGGCGAAUUUCACCAAAAUAUCACAUAGAAACUCCCCAUUGGCCUUCCCUCUCCAUUCUACACCCCAGAUUGCUGAGGUUUAGGUCCCGAAUUGCGAAGAACGGACCCGUCGGUCUGGGGGUGCCACGGCGGAAAUUCGCCGAUCAUGAAAGUUAUGUCUACCACCACCUCCACCACCAAAACACUUCUCUAGAGGCCAGGAACAAAGCCCAAGCAGUGGUGGAGUCGUUGGAGCGCGUAUGGAGGUUGAUUCAAAACACACCUAAAACUAGGGUUCCGGCCGUUCGAGGGAAAAUUCAGGGGUUUCCCGGCCAAAUUGGACUUCGGCCCAAGUAUGAAAGUUGUUCCCCCUGGCUUGUUUUACAUUUCUGUGAAAUUUGGUCAUUUUUGGAAAUAAUUAGAUUUUUCGGCGAGUCGGGGCGGCCGGCCGCCAUGUGCGGCUGGGCGUGGCGGCGGUGCUUGGGCUAAGAUCCCACCUGCCUUUCCUAGACUAAUUUGGAUACCCUGAUUCCAUACGUGAAGUUCGAUUGAUGAAAUCUCGUCGUAAGACUAUAGUUUUGAUAGAGACCGCCACUUGGACAUUAAAUGAAUCGACAAUCUGACCGUUGGAUCGUCACCAAACUUUAAUACGUUAUAGUACGUAAUAUUAGAAGACCAUAGGAACGUACGGAUCAGGAAUCAAUGUACGGAUCUUUCCGAAUUAGAUUUCUAAGUUUGUAAAACCAAAUGUCGACAACCAUUUGAUUUUGUGAUUGGCAAAUAUCCGACCGUUGGAUCUCAAUGAAAUUUUAGUAUGUUGUUCUAGAAGCAUAAUGUGGACGUUAAGAAGUUACGGAUGAAAAAUCUGAUAGGCGGAUCUUCUGGUUUAGAUUUCUAGGGCUGUGAACCUUAUCCUCAAUCUUGAUCGAUGGUUGACUUUUUAGUCAACUAAACCAAGUUUCUAGUGUGCCGUUUAUCUUAGAGUGUUGUUGAGAUUUCAUAAAGCUUAGUGGGUUCAUUGUGAUGACGGGUGUCUUGAUUUAUGUAUGAGUGAUUAUAAUAUAGGUGAUUUAUAUUGAAUUGUUAUUUUAUUUUAUAGCCAUCGUUCUAUGCUCUUAAUUGUGAUUUGACUGUGGAUUGGAAACAUUUAGGAAAUGUGAUUUGACAUGCAUGUCUGCAAUGUGGUUUGUGUUGUAUGAUUGGCAUGAUGUGAUGAAAUGUGAGGGCUAGUAGUGGACCGUUAACCCAUUGUCUUGGGGUUUGUUGCUUCAACACUUGUUUCACAUCCUGUUACCUUAUUUCGCUUUUUGUUACGUUCAGCCCUUCUAAAUUGAGUACUUGGUUCAUGUUUUGUUUCUUCGAGCUGUUGAUGUGUUCCUUAGCCUUUCACUCGGUUCCGUUGAGUGAUCCAGAGCUGAGUAUCCACUAGGGUUCUGUUGAGUGAUCCGGUUCCCUGCUCCGUCUGGAUUCCGUUGAGUGAUGGUCUGAAAUCCCUUUUAUUUCACGAUUCUGUUGAGUGAUGGUUCGAAAUCAUAUAUGCUCAGAUUUUGUUGAGUGAUGGUCCGGAAUCCCUUCUAUUCCGCGAUUCCGUUGAGUUAUGGUUCGAAAUCAUAUCCGCUCGGAUUCUGUUAAGUGAUGGUCCGGAAUCAUAUCCGCUCGGAUUUCAUUGAGUGAUGGUCCGAAAUCCAUUAUACUCCAUGAUUCUGUUGAGUGGUCCGAAAUCGUAUCCUAGUUUGUAUUUCGUUGAAUGGUUCGAAAUCGCAUCAUUUGACUUGUUGGCUCCUUGGAUUUGAUUUCAGCUUCAGAAAUGUAGGCUACGGUCGAACAAUGUCGCUCUAGCCUUGCAUUUUGGUCUGUGAUAUGUGUUAUUGAUUGAUGUGAUUGUUGUCAUUCUGAUUAGACUUGAUAACCAAUGUGGCUAGAGAAUAACAUUGUGCUUCGUUGACUGUUACUUGAGAUGUUGCAUACUAUUAAUUGCAGUAUUAUGUGAAACAUAGUGAUUUAUAUAAUGGAUAAAUUGGAAAGCUUAUGUGUGAGAAAGGCAUACCUGCAUGCAUAAUAAGGUGAUAAUUGUUGUUUGGCGUAAGCUUGAUGUGUAGUGUGGUACUCUAUGAUUUCUUAUGGAAGUAUUUUAUGAAAAGAUUAGAGUUUGACAAAUGACGAACUACAAAUAGCUUGAUCCCUAUUGAGGGUAUGUAGGUAGUCUAACAAGGAUGUUAGAUGCAAUCAUAAAGUAUACAAAAGACUACUAUGCGAAUCGAUUCUCGAGUUGUGAUUUGCCAUAUCCCAGAGGCGGGAUAUAUUUGAGAUAUGAGUAUUUGGUUGUCACGUCUCAAUCCUGGACGUAUGUUGGGAUCGGGACGUGACAAAUGUCGUGUAUUUAAUUGAGUUGUAAUAUAUAAAUUCUUGCUAGAUUGAAGGGUUUUUAACUUAUUCGUUUGCAAUGUGGGAAGAUUGUUGAUUAUCUCAUUGACCCUGGCCUUUGUUGCCUGCACAAGUGGUGGACAUCCCUAAUCACUUUAUUUAAGUAAUGUCAAUCUUUGCACACAUUUCAGACUAAGUUGUUAAUGGGAUUGUUCCUUAACUAGACAAUUGUUUCCCAAAAUUUGUAUUUAUGUCGUUGCCAUGCAUUGAGCUAUCUCAUGAAUCUUCUUAUGGUCUCAGUAAUUCUUUUGUGUUGUCAUGUGAUCCAUCAAACAGAUGCACCUACAUUCUUUUCCAAAUUUAUGGAACGUAGAAAAAAGGUCCAAGUUUUCCUUUUUCUUUGUUAACAAAGAUAAUUGUUGCUUAAUGUUUUCCAUGGCUAUCCUACUUUUAGUGUAGGUCGUGGGAAAAUUCCCAAAUUACUGCUUAGGAGUAUUAGAAUAGGCCAGUGUUUUUUCUUUCAUAAAUAUCUAUUCGAUUGGAAAAUAGGCCAGUGUUUUACUCAUUGUUCAUACACUAACCCGAGUGUUUAGAGUCAUACUUUCUAUGACUUUUUUGUGAAGUGAACAAAUCAAGCUCCACUCUCUACCUGGUUAGUCUUCAAUCUACCAAUUACUUUAAUGUCUUGUCCUCUAAUUUGUAUUUGUUCGGGUUUUCAAAAUUAAUGUCUGAUUUCUACAGAUGAAGUGUUAUACAUGUUAAGUAGAAUUAAGAAGUGAAUUAGGUCCUCUUGAGAAUGCAUGGGAUAAUUCUAUGGGUGUUAACUUGGUUUUUAGAUUGAUUGUUUAGUUAUAACAUAAAAUCUCAAUAUUUACAUUUACAAUAUUAGAAUGCACUGAUCUAAAUAAGAGAUUAUUAAAUCAUUGAAAAAAAUCCUCUCUAACUAACUGGUAUAAAACAAGAUUCUUUUCCACCAAUAAAAAAAUUAGGUAAUCAUAUUUUAUUCUUAAUUUUUUUUAUAGUAUGAACCUGUUGAAGUAAAUUAAUUGCAUGUAUUUUAAUAUUUCAUAUUUUUCCUUGCCUAGGUUGCUUUCUUGACAAUCAAGAGCAAUGGAGGGAAACUUUAGGUGCUUCCGUAAAUGACUGAUUUUUUUUUCUAUGUAGAGACAAAAGUUCUACAAUUGUUUGUGUGUGGACUGUAUCAGUUAAAUAUUUUGUUUGUUAAAAUUUUCUAACAUUUUUAAUGUAAGUAAUAUUAAUCAUCUAUGACAUAAUUUUUCUUAUAAUUUCUAAUCCCGCAACAACACACGGGGUACCAAUUUCUAGUUUAGAUCUAAACAAUAAGUUACAAGCAGAUACAUAAAGAAAAUGAUCAGACAAGACAACAUAUCAUUUGGCGUCAAAGAAAAAACGCUAACCUCUCUGGUCCUGUGCACGAACUGAACUUGCACAGAGCAUCAAAAGGAGGAAGAACCCAGUUGACAUUUUCAUCUCUCUAUCUGUCUAUCUCUCUCUCGCUCUUGGAGCCAAAUAAUCUGAUACUGAAAAUAUAUGAAACUGUGGAAUAUUAAAACUAAUGCUGCAAAACCUGCUACAAAUCCUAAGAGAACUACAAUCUGGUUUUUUAGGUCAAUGCAUUUUUCCCUGGUCAAUGAAUUUUGGAUAUAUUUGAUUUCACAUAUGGAACACAAGUGUGCUUGUCAUAGCCUCAGCCAAUCAAUUAGUCAGACUAAUUUUUUUUUUAAUUUUCAACCUACGAAGAUUUAAACAAUCGCGAAAAUUGGCUGAAAUAAUAAAAAUACAAAUUUCAGUGGAUGAAAAUGUCACUUUUCGAAUUUUACUGGUACAUAUGCAAUAUUUAAUUGAUAACGUCCUUAAUAUUUGAUUGAUAUGUUGUUACUUACUUAUUUAUUUAUUUUAUCAUUUUAACAAUUGAGAUAUGUAAAAUUCUCAUUUCAGGAAAAUUCCCUUCAUUUUAUAACUUUAAUUGUGACUAGAAUAGAUAUGCUGCCACAUGUGCUCCCGAGGUCGAGUUUUGGUCCUGCAAUAUAGAUUAAUUCAGGAUUGUAUUUUUCACAUGUUUAUUUUUAUUUUUCACACAUAUUUUUUAAAUUUCAUCCGUCAAAUCGCAUAAAUUAAAAAAGAUCUAUGGUAAAAAUUAACAAAAAUUAACCAGAAGUAAAAAAUGGUUAUGAAUAGCACAAUCUUAAUUUAAACCAGUGUGUGACUGACAUAAAUAGACAAACAAAAGAAAACUUAAGAUGUAGCAAUUAGUGAUUAAUUUAAUAGAUAAAUAGCACAUGAAAGCCAAAAUCUUCAUGCCGACAAAACGCAACUACAAAUCCAAAGUCUAAAAGGCCGAAAAGGUGGAGCCUAGAAGGCUGUACUUUAUAAUUUUCCACAGCUUUGCUUAUUAUUAUUACUUUAGUCUAAAGUAGGAGGGAAAUUGCACUAUUCACGUGAACAGUGAUUUGGGGUGGAUUUUGAGUUAUUUACAAAAAUGCCACCGCCUCUUCAGUUUCAUAUUGAAAAUUUCGAUUUAUUUACGAAAUUGCUAACCCUUCGGCUGUGCACGUGUCGACCAUCGUAGAAAGGGUGGGGGAUGGAAGCAAACCCGAUUUUGUUGCUCCAGAGAUCUCUUCAACGAUAAACCCAUUUUGCUCCGGAGCUCUUCAAUGACAAAGUCGAUUCGGCGCCUCACCGUCGCACACCUCGCCUUCCCCUCGCCGUCGCACUCCUUACCCGAAUUCGAAUCAAUGGUAACGUGCCAAUUUUAUAUAUUUUUUGUCGAUUUUUAUCAUUAUUCUGGAAAUUAGGGUUUGAUCCAAAUUUGGUGUGGCUGUGCUUCAGCCAAAACUCACGGAUUAGGCUGAGAGAGAGAUAUAUAGGACGAUUUGUGGAUGGAUUUCAGGGAGAGAGGCGUGGGAUGGCAGGGAGGGGAAAUGAGAUGGAGGAGUGAGGCUGCCAAAAAGGGGGUUAGGGUUGAUUUUUUCUCCUCAAAUCAAUUGUUGGUGUCGGUGAUUGAACGACCAUUGGUUAGAUUUGAACUUUCAUUUCCUUUGUUUCUGAACUGGAAUGGGGUCGAUGGGACCAUGCUUUGUUGCACGUUCAAAUGAGUGAUUUCAGAGAUUGGUAAUCCCAUAGCGUGUUUUCCCCUCAUCUCUGUCACACUUAACCUUUCUCUAACCCUUUCUCUUUCACUUUCUUUCAGACUCUCCCUUUCUCUCAACUCUUCAUCUCUCUCAACUUUAGUCCUAACCCUAAUUUGUUCUUUCAUUCCUCAAUUUUCUCCAUCCGAGCAAUGAAAAAUCUGACUGGGUUUUCAGAUUAUUAAUGCAGAGGGAUUCACGGACAGAGAAGGGAGAGAGAGAGAGAGAGAGGGAGAGAACGAUUACACAGAGACAAGGAGAGAGACAGAUAGAAAGAUCGCAGAAAGAGGAGGAUGACGAAAAUUUAGGAGGAACCCAUGUCUGCAGAGAGCGAGUAAGUUUUGAACCAAAGCUUAUUUCCUUUAAUUUAUGGCUAUGCGACAAAAAAUUUCUGAAGCGAAAGAAUCAAGGAACCUUGCAUUUAGAAUUUAAUCCUAAUUUUUUUCUCUUUGCAGGACAAAAAACUACUAGGGAAGGAAGAGACUGUUAAGAAAGUAAAACCCAGACCAGAGAAGACAAGCAAUGGUGGAGGAACCAAGGCUGUAGAUCUUUGAUAAAAGGUAUAAAUCCUUUUCGUUUCUGGUAGUUUGCCCUCGCCUAAAAAUGUGAAAUUUAAUAUGGUGUUGAUGAGUGUGUUUGAAGGCGGAAGAGCUGAUCCUGUAAUUUGACUGCUUUGUCACACUCGAAAUCAUUUAUCAAUUUAUUUAAGUAAUGUUUAUAUCUGCACCGUCUUCUAACUUUUUUAUAAAUGUUUAACCCUGAUCUAUUGUUUGAUGAUCGUUUUGUAGCACUGCCAAUAUCAUCGCUCUUUCCAUUCCUUUAUUUUUUGGUGAGUGCUCACUUAUUAAUACUGUUGUUGCUUUUAGUUUUUAAAUUUUUUGAAAAAUUCAACCUUCAAACCCUGUUGAAGUCGGUUUGGUAUCUCAAGAUUCCAAAUUAUUGUUUGUAGAUUAGGGAUUUGCAUAUUGGUAAAAGAGAGGAAGACAUUGGCUACUGUGUUGGAUAUGUAGGUGAGUUGAUGAUUGUCACUACUUACCUUUCGUGUUCUUCACCAUUUUGUUCCUUAACAAGUGUCUUUACAAACUUUCGUACUUUGAAGUGGCUUCAUAGAUAUUUGGCAGAGUCCUGACAUCAAUUUUUUAGGGAAUGGUGGCUGAUAUUGACUCAGAUGAAGCCCCUAUUUAUAUAUCCUAAUCAUUUUUAUGUUCUAUCUUUUCUGACUUGGAUGAUUUUGAUCGAAUGAAUGAGUUAUAAACUGAAAGUUACAUUUGUUCCAUCAAUAUGUUGAUCAAAUGGAUGAGUUAGAAGCUGAAAAUUACAUUAGUUUCUUGCUGCUUUUUAUACUCAAUAGAUUUUGUGUAUAUGUAGUGCUUUAUUUUCAAGGUUAUUUCUCUCAACACCAUGUGAAUGUACAAAUGGUUCUUUCCCAAUUCAACCAAUUUAAAAAUUGGGAUUUUAACCGAUGUUCGUCCAUGGUUCCUUGCUUUCCAGAUAUUGAAACAUGCAUAAAUUCACUAGAAAUUAUUCAUGUCUAUGUCCCAAAGGAUACAAACAUGAAGGCAUGGAUGAAAAGAGUUGUAUCAAAGACAACAAACGGUCAAAGGCCAUUCUCCUCAUUAUUUCAUUAGGUAUGCAUGUUUUUUUCACAUGUUAAUAUAUUGCAUAUACGAGCCUAAAUUUAUUUUAUUGGAGCCACUUUUGGAUCCAAAAUUCUCAUAAAGUAUGUCAUUGAUGAAAGUUAUAUUCUGGUGUCCUUUAGUGAUCUUCAUGUUUUUCGUACGAAAUGAGAUUGUUAGCUUCUGUAAGCAGUAUUAACUAUCAGGGAUUUGUUUUCAUAUUGCAUGAAAUUUCCACUUUUUUCAUCUUUGAAUAGUCUCAAGCAUGGUAAAUAUAAUAGCACUAGAAAGUGAGGAAAUCCACUUUCUUUGGUGAGGUUGGAUUCUCUACUAUGACUACCAUUUUUAUCUCUAAACAAAAUUUUAAUGGUAUGUAUGAUAUAAAAGGGUAAAUUUAACUAUUUUGGUUUGUUUGUUCUCACGCUUUGGUGCCUUGAGUUUUAAUUUUUAUAGAUGUGUCUGAGUUGUUUUCCAGUUACAAUUUGGGUGCCAUUGGAAACUUCUAGGGGACCAAAAUUAUUUUCAGGUCAAAAUACAGGAACCAAAUCGUAACUAGACUAGGAGAUUACAUUACCAAAGUAGGAAAAUUCGGUCUUGAUUUAUAGUUUGGCAACAUAAUAUGUAUGUAGGAUGUUGUUUUGGAACUGCUUGCUAAGUGUUAAAUACAUCCUAUAACAUGACUGACUAACAAGUAUGGUCGUUCAGAUAUACAUGCAAUUGAGAUCACUGACUAAAUCAGAUUUCUUUUAUAUUGAAGCAAAUCUUGCCUAUUAUAGGUGUUUAUGAAAAUUCCCUAGAGAGUUAGAAACAAGGAUAUGAUGCAAAUCUGAAUGUAGGCUGUUUUGGUAUAUGUGUGUACAUACAGGGGUGUUAUAUUGAUAUGACAUGCUGCCUUAUUUAUCUAUUUUUCGAUUGUUAGAUCAAAGAAGGAAGUUCAAUUUAUCAAGGAUCAAGGUUUGGACUACUAGACAGAACGCCGCCUUCGGUUUGAGGUAUGGAAGUUUCGAGUUUGCAAUCUGGCCGAUUGUGUGUUUAAAUUUCUGGUUCCCAAAUAAGAAAUAUGCUUUAUUUGAUCCCGAAUAAGAAAUGACAUGGGUAUGUGGCUUUCAUCGUUAUUAAGUUGUAUCCUUUUCUACUUGGGUUACAAAAAAGCAUUAAAAUGAAUCAAUCAAUUUUUUUAUUCUAAGGAAAUAUGUAUUCAACAUUGUUUUUUCUGAACAAUUUCAAUUAAUAUAACUAUGACCAUUUGUCUACUAUUUUCUAUCUUCUGGUCUUCUUCCUUUUAUUUUUAUUGAGAUCUGGUCAAUAUUAAAUUGAAAUUGUUAUUUUAGAUUUUACUCCUUGUGUGGUUUUCGGAACCCAACAUGUGAAGGGUUAAUUCUAUUUUUAGGUUGAAGGAAAAUACGGUGUAUAAUUUGGGAAGUGCUUUCAAUUCUACUCUCAUCUCUAAUAUGAAUAUAGAUUACAACUCUGACCCUGAGUAGUCCAAAAGCUAAAAUCACACCCUGUUAAUCUGAAUUAAUUGUAGACGUACUCUCUUUCCCUCUUAAUUGCUUCUUAGAUCAUCUCCAACCCUUGGGCUAAAAGCCAAAUUUUUUAGCCCGAAAAAUUUAGCUUUUAGCCGAGAAACAACUUUUCUGCUCCAACCAUUCUGGCCUAAAAUUUUAGCCCGAGAUUAUUAAAAAAUGAACUUAGGCUAAUUUUUUUCUUAAAUUAACUUUAAAAAAAAAUUAUGUAGACUAUCGUAAAUUAAUUUUAUGAACAUUUUAAUCUAAAAAUAUUUAAAUUCCGAUAAAUAUUAAAAAAUCACUAAAUUUUUCCACAAAGCAAGCCUUCAUUUUUUUUUAAAUUAUUUUAGCCGUUGGAUUUAAAUUUGGGCCGUUAGAUUUUUUAUUUUUUUUUACCAUUAGAUUUGAUUAUAUUCGAUCUCAGCUGUUGGAUUCAAUGUAUUUUAAAAUAACAUUUUUAAAAAGAUUAAAUUUGAAUUUAGAUCGUUGGAUCAACCAACGGUCCAAUAAUGCCAACCGUCCAAUGAACAAAAGAGCCGUUGGGCUCAUAAUUGCUUCCGACAGCAGCCCUGACAAUGGGUCCCACCCUGUCGGGCGCUAAGGGCUAACGCCCGCGUGGGGCGAGUGACCGGGCUGAGAGUGGGCUGGGAAAGAGGGAGUCCACACGUUUCUGGGCUAUUUCUUGGGGGGAAUUUGGCCCUCAAUUAGCAUUUGGCUUUUAGCCCAAAGAUUUGGCUUGGGUUGGAUUGGGUUUGGGGGGGGGGGGGGGGGAAUAGGGGGGGGUGAAAUUUGGCAUUUAGCCCAAGGUUGGAGAUGGUCUUAGACCAUCUCCAACCCUUGGGCUAAAAGCCAAAUUUUUUAGCCUGGAAAAUUUAGCUUUUAGCCCAGAAACAUCUUUUCUGCUCCAACCCUUCUACCCUAAAAUUUUAGCCCGGAAUUAUUAAAAAAUGAAAUUAGCCUAAAUUUUUUUCUUAAAUCAAUUUUUUUUUAAAAUAAAUAUGUAGAUUAUUGUAAAUUAAUUUUAUGAACAUUUUAAUCUAAAAAAAUUUAAAUUCCGAUAAACAUUUCACAUUUAGCCCGGGGAGAAAGCUGGGGGGUAUUUGGCCCAGAAAUAACAUUUGGCAUUUAGCCUAAAAUUUUAGCAUGGGUUGGAGAGUGUUUGAGGGGGUAAUUUGACUUUUAGCCCAGGGUUGAAGAUGGUCUUAGUGCUUCUUUGUUUUGAUUUUCAUCAUCCAAUUUGUUAAAUUUAUUGUUAAUUUCAGGGUACUAUCAAUUUCUUUGUCCCCGUGUUUAUUAAUUGUGGUUUUCUCUAUUCAUUUGGGAUGUCUCAGUGGAUUGAAGAUCUCAGUCAAAGUUCUUUCCCUAUCAUUUCAAGCUAAAUUAGCAUGUAGAAGAAGCGAUCAAGAUAGUAGAAAAGAGAUGGAUUGAUACAAUUAAAAGGGAAACACAAAGGAUCGGAGAAUCUGUACAAGAAAAAUAUCACGCAAAAUCGGAAGACGAUCAUCACAUUGCCACAUUGAACUUUAAACUUCAUGCAGACAGUACCAACAAUGAAGAGAAUCACGAGGACCAUAAAUUAUUUGCUCAAAAGUAUAUGUAAAUGAAGAACAAUAAUUCUAACCUCUUUCUCAGCCUCAAAAAAUUCUCCUUCUCCCUUCUUCUUUGCAACUUCCUUAGCAAAAUAUUUGUCAUCAAACUUAUCGAUAGAAGUGGCAAUCACGUAAGACUGAUUUACACGUCUCAAAGGAACACCAUUAAUUUUAAAGGGGCCUGCAAUGGCAUCAUACCAGCACUCAAGUUAGAACUUAGAACGGCACUUUUCAAGAAGCAGGAAACCCAUUACCCCAUUACCCCCGCCCACCACGGGAUUGAAAAAAAAUGAGCAAAUACACAAAUCAGUAGAUGUAAACAAAAUAAGAACAUAUAUUUUAAUAAGAAACAAAAUAAGAACCUAUGAAAGUUGAAGGCAUAAAAGCUAAUUCAUAUAUUUUAACGAACAAUCACGAUUAAAUAGAUUACUAGAUGAUACUUCACGAGUGCAACUCCUUCAUGUCAUCGUUUCAUACAGUUUCGGAAGAAAGAAAAAUAGCAACACACCACUUCGAGUACUCACUCACUAACCCUAUUUGAAUAUAUCCACCCAAAGAAACCCCAGCCUGCAAAAUAUCCCAUUCAACCGGAGGGGAGCAAUCCCCCAAGCACAAUUCAUACGAAACGGUGAUGUAUUUGCAAAUAACUUGAAACAUAAGAAACCUCCUUUUUUGCACCAAAUUCUAAUGGUGUCGCCACAAAACAACGUUAUCGUCAUUGGGUGGAAUUCAUGACCAAGGAACCUCCCAGUAUCAUAAAACUUAACAUUCAUUCGAAAUUCCGGAACAAUACUCAUUAGUAACAAGAAGUAGCCCAGAUGAAAGCUGCUUAAGAAAAACAACUCUCUUUCCCUUAAACCUUCCAGCCAAUACAAUCAGCACCGUCCCUGGUGUAAUACUAGCCCUACAUCCAACCAACCCAAUCAAAAAACAAAACAAAAAAAUUAUCAAACACCAAUUUUCUAAUUUCUAAUUUUGACAACAAUUAUAAAUAAAGAUUAUUAAAAACCGAAUGAUUCGAAUUUGAAAAAUAAUUAAAAUCUGAGAGAAAGUAGAGAAAAAGAGAACCUGAGCUUCGUGGGCCUGGGCUUGCGUUUGUUGACGAGGGGUUUCUUGACGUCGUCGGCGGGGUAGAACUUGGGCGGCUUCUCAGGCUGGGUCUCGGCUGCCGGCUUCGCAUCGUGGCGAGGGAAGACGCCGCCAUUUUUGGCUUUGAGAGCCCAAAGACCACGCUUGUGGUACAUUUUGGACCUCGAGAACUUACCCACCCCGCGGACGAGAUUUGGGUUCCGGGUCUUUCUGGGGUUCCUUGCUUUUGCUGCCAUUGCUGAGCUCACGCAGUCUCUCUGAGGCUUCCUAUUUGCGAUAGAGAAACGACAGAGGAAGUAGUGCGGUGGGGGGUUGAAGUAAAACCUCAGCUUCCGGUUUAAUUUUCUUUUGUUUUUGGUUUUGGGCUUUGUAUCUAUCUGGCCCAAACUUUAGUUUCAAUACUGAAAUGUUCUGUAUUUAUUGAAAAACAUUUGAAUUUUUAGAAUAAUCAGUUGUAAAAGCAAAACGAUCGAGGUCUCGUUUGUCAUGUUUUACAUAGCACCGGAUAAAACCAAUAAUACAGAACCAAUUGUUGAGCACUUAUGUAUCAAGCAGGCAUUUGACUAAUUAUUCUAUCCUGGUCUCACUUAUUUUAUACGUUUCACACAUGCUAACUUGUACACUCCAAAAGAUAGGUAUAGUGGUUAACAAAAUGUAGUUUAAAGUCACUUAGUACUCAUCUAGUGAUAUUCCUUUUCACUUGUAAUUACGAUGUUUUAUAUUCAAAUCUCGUUGAUGACAAAUUCAAUAUCAAUUUAUUCUCCCACACUACUUUAGUUUAAAGCCUGGAACCAUGCACGAUAACCUCCAAGAAAAGUAGAUAAGAUACAACAUCUAGUAACAUAAUUUCAAUUGAUUUACUCCAUUGAACAAAAAAAAUGAAGUGAAAACUUGUAUACCAAAUAAAAAACUCAAAAUGAAUUACAAGCCAUUUAUAAAUGCUUCUUUAAAACACUUAUGCUCAGAAUUACUUCUAAUAAAGUGUUUCUAUUUUUUAUUUUAAAAACACUUCCAAACAAAUAUAACAUAUACAGAAAGAAAUCCAAAGUAAUAUGCAAAAAGAUCAAAGAAAGAAAAGAACUUUAUGGAUAUUGUUGUAUGUAUAUUAUCUUCUUCAACUAGCCGGAAAUGUUUCCAGUUACCUAGGAAACGGUCCGGUCAUGGAAUCAACAUUUGUGGAAUCUGUACACAUGGAGAGAACUUCAGGUGAACUAUGAUUAUAUGGCCCAAACGCAGCGCGAAGCUCUUCUGUUGAUGUUGGAGUUCUUUCUCGAUGCCUAGACAACUCCAUUUCCAAGCAAUUUUUGAGCUCAGACAAUACAACAUCCAUUGUGACUCUGUGUUGAGAGGUAGAGGUUGUGCACGCCAUUGCUAUCUCUAACGCUUUCCAGACCGAAUGCUCAUCGAACUCUUCUUGCAUCCUUUGAUCCACAACACUUUUUAGUUCCCUUUUUUCGAGCUCAGAACUCACCCACGUUACUAUGUGGAUUACUUCAUCACUUUUUAUCACUGCAGGUUGGCCGGUGAUUAGCUCUAAUAGAACUACCCCAAAACUAUACACAUCACUCUUUUCAUUCAGCCUUUGGCAAUUGUAGUAUCUGUAAACAAAAACCAAUAUUCAUUAAUCACAACGUCGUGGUUUAUAUGCAUAUUGUCGGUUUAGUGCCCCUUCAGUUUGAUUUUUGAUUAAGAGUUUGUUCCGUUUUUUAACAUCGUAUUUUCGCAUGAUAAUAAUGCUAAUAGAAUGAGAAAACCUAAACAUACUCUGGAUCAAGAUAUCCGGCUGUUCCCAUGACUGUGCUGACCACUUGAGUCUCAAUGUCACUAGCAAAAACCUUGGAAAGACCGAAAUCUGCUAUUUUAGCUUCCAAGUUUUCGCUUAAGAGAAUGUUGGCUGUCUUCACAUCUCUGUGGACAAUAGGCGGCUUGCAUCCGUGAUGCAAGUACUCAAGACCUGCGAACCAAAUUUUGCAUUCCGUUAGUAGAACUAUAAUUUGUGUAAACAUGAUCACAUCUAUUUUACUAAAAUAACAGGAAGCACGAACCUUGUGCAGCAUCGAUUGCUAUAUGAAGUCUCGUUUCCCAUGUCAUCUGUGAACUCCUUUCUGCAUCUGCAACCAAUAAUGUGUAUUUUGUUCGCUAGAUUUAAGAUGGACCAACAUAAACUGGCGAAAUUUCUCUAUCUUGAUAACAAGAUUAUACCUGAGAGAGAGUUUUUUAGGUUGCCAUUAGCCAUGUACUCGUAUAUAAGUGCCAAGUUGUUCGCAUCAUCACAGUAUCCAAUAAACGAGGCCAAGUUUCUAUGAUGGAUUCUCAUCAGGAGCUCAGCCUGCAGUCAAGAACAAACUCAUCACAACCUGCAUCGAACGAGACUAGGCUUGGCAUUUACCUUGCAUUCCAAGAAAUUCUAAAUGACAAACCUCUGUUUGGAACUCCCUAGGUCCUUGAGUUGAUGAUGCAGAAAGCAUUUUUACCGCAACUUGGGUUCCGUCUUUCAUGCAACCAUGGUACACAGUCCCAAAUCCUCCUUUCCCGAUCGAGGUUUGUAAGUUUUUGGUGAUAUCUAAAACCUCCUCAUGAGUAAACUGGCACUUCUUUGAUGCUAUAGCUGUUUUGUUGAAGGGUUCUAAUUCUGUACCUUUAAGUACACAAAAAAUUAUGUGUACGCAUUGUAUAAAUUUUCAUUCGAUCUAGACAACCUGUUUCGAGAGUUCUUCUUUGUUCAAAGUAAUACUGUUACAAUUUGGGGAGCUACUGAGAUCUGUAAAGGUACCUGAUUCUCUUUUUCUUCUCAAUUUCCAUACUAGCAUCAGCACUAUAACGACUGCUAGUGCUGCUACUAACGACGCAACUAUUGGAGCAACAAUUUUCUUCUUCUUUUUGCAUGAACCCGAGCCACAAAGAUUUUUGGUAUCCACACUGAAAUGAACACAAAAAUUCUUCUUUUUUCUGUUAUUUUUCAAACCAAAGGCAUGUUUCUAAACCAGAUACACAAGAAGCGAUUUUUACCUCAGUACAAGUAAUCCAGCUUCCGAUCUCUCGCGAAGAGCGUUUGGAACCGAACCAGACAAUUGAUUGCCCUUCAAAUUCCUGCAGAUCAAUGCUUAAUAAUAUGGAAUUCUGGUAUCAAAUGAGUCUAUGAUCAUGUAGAGAUUGCACUUACAAGAGAGUGAGCGACUUUAGUUCUUCCAAGAACUGAGGCACUGGCCCGGUUAGGUUAUUGUUCGACAAAUCUCUGGGAAGAAAAGCAUUAUAGUUAGUAGGUUCUGCAAGAUAGUAAAGUGGAUAAAUUCGGCAAGAUGAGUCUUCAUGGAAGCAAAAGUGAAGAACAAUUACAAGGACUCGAGUGAUGAGAGAUUGGCAAUGGAAGCAGCUAUUAUCCCACUCAAAUUGCUUGAACUCAAGUUUCUAAUCACAAUAAAAGGCAAAUCGGCUUAGAAUUAGAUUGAAAAGACAAAGAAAUUGUAAAGACCAGUUCCUUAGAAGGACUCACAGGGAAAUAAUCCGAGGAAGCGAAAUGCUGUAGUUGCAUUCUAGUCCUUCCCAAGAGAAAUUCCUAGGUCCACAAGGAUCACCAGCCCAGAUUUUUUUUAUUUGAUAUGUAGUUUUGACGUUCUUUAUGGCAUCAGCUGCAGUCAUUAACAAAACCAGAUCAAACAGGACCGAUAAAGCUAAGAAUUGGUCAAAUUUAAGAGAGAACGACCAGCGGUCACCAACAUUGUUUCCAACUUAAUCAUCUGCACAGCUCGCUACUAUAUUUUGUAUUUUAUAUUGUCAGGAUUCCGAGGUGGGAUUUUUAUAUUUUUCAGCAAGCAUUUCUUUUCCAGAGGAAAUAAGCAUAUAUCAAUACUUGUAAGAAUGUUCUUGUUGAUUUAACAAAGGAAGACAUACCAUCUUCACCAUAAGUAGGUGAUUCAACCAGCUGCAUAACUUGGAAAACUUCAACAGCAUUCAGAAUCGGUGGAAGGGAAGAGUCCUCUGUCUUGUGUAAAGAAAUUUCGUGAUCCUUUCCCACCAGAACUCUUGAAUUAGAUAUCACGUCUGCCUGUAAGUAACGGGGAGUGAAUGGUCCAAACAAUGGAGAACCAUUCAAUGAUAUAUUGAAUUUUCUUGACUGAUUCUUCCCAAGUUUCUCCACUUCAGCAAAGUACAUAAAAACAUAAAACUGAGCAUUCAUGUCAGUUGUGUUCCAGUACAAAUCUAAAGGUUCACUUGCAUUCUGAGGUGUAGCUGCAGUCCGGAUUACUUCCAAUGGCACUCUAUAUCCGUUCUCAUAGGUAGUAAUCGACGAAGAAGUACUAACUGGAUCCCAAGAAGGUGAAAUGUGACGCGACCAAAUGCGAUCAUAAACAUCAUCUCCAUAUCGACCUGUUCCAUUGCCUUGUCCAAUGUCCAGUCUUUCAAUGAGUACUAAUGAUGCAGAAGUCCCAAAUUCAGUACCAUAAGUUGAGCUAUUAAGCGGUCUAAAUUCCAACGCCGAAAUGAAAGGAGUUCCCAACCCUUUAUUUAUUAGACAAAUGUCCACGGUAUUUGAUUCUGCAAAACCUAAAAUCUCCUUGGUAACAAUAUCUGAAGCAUUUUCAAACCUCACCGUCGACCAAAAGUUGACGCCGAGGUAGAGAUCAAAUUCCGGCAACUUGUUUUCUCCAUCGUAGUUUCCAUACAAGAAGGUAGCUCUAAUCAAAUUCAAACUGCCAUUUCCUGCUUCGGGUUUCAACGUAUAGCAAUUUUUGUUUCCUUGAGGGAAACUCCUGAGGUCGG
rnacentral:lncRNA from 1 species